AGGACGAACGCUGGCGGCGUGCUUAACACAUGCAAGUCGAGCGGAAAGGCCCUUCGGGGUACUCGAGCGGCGAACGGGUGAGUAACACGUGAGUAACCUGCCCCUAGCUCUGGGAUAGCUCCGGGAAACCGGGAUUAAUACCAGAUACGACCACUUUAGACAUCUGUCGUGGUGGAAAGGAUUCCGGCUAGGGAUGGGCUCGCGGCCUAUCAGCUUGUUGGUGGGGUAACGGCCUACCAAGGCGACGACGGUAGCCGGCCUGAGAGGGCGACCGGCCACACUGGGACUGAGACACGGCCCAGACUCCUACGGGAGGCAGCAGUGGGGAAUAUUGCGCAAUGGGCGAAAGCCUGACGCAGCGACGCCGCGUGGGGAUGAAGGCCUUCGGGUUGUAACCCCUUUCAGCAGGGACGAAGCGAAAGUGACGGUACCUGCAGAAGAAGCGCCGGCUAACUACGUGCCAGCAGCCGC
rnacentral:rRNA from 1 species